GGAUCCUUUCAUUCUUUGAUGUGGUAGGGAAUUAUUUUUGACUUUUUCAGUUUCAUUCUCAUUUAAGUCAUCUUGGGCUUGGAAUGGGCUCUGGGAAAUAGGUGGAGUCUCUGCUGUUUCUAAUUAAUACCUGUAGGUUAGUCAGUCUCCCUCUGGAAGCUUCUCACUGGUAAACAUAGAAGCUGUGGGGCAUCCUUGGGUAGCGGCAGCUACCGCUUUCUGUAGUCCUGGAGCCUGACCCCCGACUGCUACCUCCCAGACUUGCCAUGAUAGCAAGUUAGGUCACUCGUGAACGUGUUUUCAAAAGUACCAUGAAGCAUUCCUAUGAGGAAUAAUUAUUACUAUACACCAUGCCAGAAAAAUAAAAUCUGUUUCUCUUUUUCUUCAGCCUUCUUCAUGUUCCACUUAGCCUUGUCUGUGGAUGGUCCUUUUUUGGGAUUCAAGGCAAAUCCCUAUUUCUGCUUUUGCUGCUGCUGUUCCAUCUCCUUUCCACUCCCCAAAGAGGUCAUAAAUUUAUUAUUUGUUCAUUAUUGUAAUAAAAUAUACAUCACAAAAUGUACCAUGUUAAACACUUUUAGGUGUACGGUGGCCUUAAGUACAUUUACAUUGUCAUACAAGCAUCCCACCCCAUCCAUCUCCUGAGCUGUUUUAUUUUCUAAAACUGAAACUCUAUACCCAUGAAGCAACAGCCCCUGGUUUUCCCCUCCCCCUGCCUCUGGCAACCUGAAUUUGACCAUGAUGGGUAUCUCAUUUAUGUGGAAUGGUACAGUAUUUGUCCUUUUGUGAUUGGCUUAUUUCACUUAAUGCACUGUCUUCAAGGAUCAUCCAUGUCUGCUUAGAGAGGCGAGUGGUAAAAUUUGUAGAACUUUGAGUAGUAAAUAGAAAAAACAUUUUCUCCCAGAAACUAUUGUAAAUUUGGGGAGGGGGAGCUGAAUGGUUUAUACACUUCUUUUUUAAUGUAGGUACUGUUUGCAGCUGUAGAGUUCCUUUCUUGAAUAAGAAAUAAAAUACAUUGUGAAUCUAUAUCUUAGAUUUCAUCUGGACAGGAGCUGAGUGAGACAUAAAUCUGUGAUGUGUGGAGCUGAGUAACACCCUUCCUCCCACCUGAGAUUUCCAUCUGAUGACUUACCAGGGAACCAAUGAACUUCUGUGAAGAAUGCUUAAACCAUGCUCGGAAAUGGGAGCUACAAAAUGUCAUGAUGUAGGAAUUAUAUACCUGUUUUGACUACCUUAUACUCAGGAGGAUACUCCAAGGAUAGAUGUAACCGAUGUUAACAGUUUAUUUUCUGAAUUUAGUCACAUUUUCAAAGAACAAAAAGACGCUGAGAAAACAGGAAGGAUCGAACUUGGGACCUUGCGCUUGUGAGGCAAGGCAGGAGGCAGAACCACUGAACUAAAUCCCUAGCCCUCAACUUAAAAAAAAACAAACCCAGAAAUCUUCAAGCAUAUGGAAAAAUGGGAACAACAGAACAGAAUGAUUCUUGUAUUCACUUAAUCUUGAUUAAAAAAUUGCUAAUAUUUUGUCAUAUUUACUUUAGUAGAAAAUCUAUAUGAAGCACUUCAAAUUACACUGUAGAUUUUUCACACCUAACCACUUCACUAUUCAGCAUAUAUCCCCUGGGAAUAAGAAUAUUUGUCUAGAUAAUGACAAUGCAACUAUCACACUGAAGAAAAUAGUAAUUUGUUAAUAUCAUCUAAUUUAAGCUGUGUAUUCAAAUCUUUCCAAUAUGAGCUUUUAAAUUGAUUCUUGAGAACCAAGAUUCAAUCAGAGUUCAUGCAUUAUAUUGUAAGACCCAGAUGGCACAAGUAACGCCAUCUUGUUACAGGCCCUCCAUCUUGUCCCUGUGGGUUUUGGGUUCCCUACAGAACACAGAGUUCCCGGGAUGUACUUGUUUAUCUGUUAAGACACCAGGAAUGUACCAUUGUUUCUGUGUAAGGAACAUCCUGUUUGCUAAGUAAAGAACAUCUGCAACCCCCGCCCCUAACCGUCCCCUAACUGCAAAAAUUCCGCUUCUGUAGUUCCGCUUGCUAAGCACCCCUGCAGCCCCUAUAAAACCUUCCAACCCCCUGAACUCGGGGCCCUCUCUAAGCCUGUUGCUUGGAGACUGCCGUCUGGCCAGACUAAUAAAGGUCUGUUAUACAUUUCCAACUUGUCGGGUGUGUUCCUUCC